AAUACGGGGAGGGCAAGCGUUGCCCGGAAUCACUGGGCUUAAAGGGGAUGUAGGCGGUCGGGUGUGUCGGAUGUGUAAUCCAUGUUUUCAACGGAUGGGCUGCGUCCGAAACUACCCGACUAGAGGGCACCAGAGGGGAGCGGAACUCACGGUGUAGCGGUGAAAUGCGUGGAUAUCGUGGGGAACGCCAGUGGGGAAGCCGGCUCCCUGGGGUGUCCCUGACGCUGAGGUCCGAAAGUUGGGGGAGCGAAGGGGAUUAGAUACCCCCGUAGUCCCAGCCGUAAACGAUGCGGGCUAGCCGUGGGUUCCCGUUAGGGAAUCCGUGGCGCAGGGAAACCGGUAAGCGUUUCGCCUGGGGAGUACGCUCGCAAGGGU
rnacentral:rRNA from 1 species